rnacentral:rRNA from 1 species
CCUAUCUGCCGUGGGCGCUGGAGAAUUGAGGGGGGCUGCUCCUAGUACGAGAGGACCGGAGUGGACGCAUCACUGGUGUUCGGGUUGUCAUGCCAAUGGCACUGCCCGGUAGCUAAAUGCGGAAGAGAUAAGUGCUGAAAGCAUCUAAGCACGAAACUUGCCCCGAGAUGAGUUCUCCCUGAGACUAUAAGUCUCCUGAAGGAACGUUAAAGACGAUGACGUUGAUAGGCCGGGUGUGUAAGCGCAGCGAUGCGUUGAGCUAACCGGUACUAAUGAACCGUGAGGCUUAACCUUACAACGCCGAAG